rnacentral:rRNA from 1 species
GGAAUGAAGGGGUGAAUGAAACAUUAUCUUUCUUUUUAUUAAAAUUUUAAUUUAAUUUUUUGGUUAAAAAGCCAAAAUUUUAUUAUAGGACGAGAAGACCCUAUAGAUCUUUAUAUUUGUUUAUUUUAUUUUAUUUUGGUUUUAUUUUUUAAAAUAUAAUAAAUAUUUAUUUGAUUGGGGUGAUUUUAGAAUUUGCGUAACUACUAUUUAAUUUAUCAUAAGUUAAUGUAUAUAUGAUCCUAUAUUAUAGAUUAUAAGAUUAAGUUACCUUAGGGAUAACAGCGUAAUUUUUUCGGAGAGUUCAUAUUGAUGAUGAAGUUUGCGACCUCGAUGUUGGAUUAAAAUAAGUCAUGGGUGCAGUAAUUCAUGUACUAGGUCUGUUCGACCUUUAAAAUUUUACAUGAUCUGAGUUCAGACCGG